ACACCAUGGUGAGGGCACCUCUGUAAGAGAUCUUCAUACCUUUUCCAUGCUUCAAACAAUGACUCCAUGUCUUGUUGGUAGAAAUUGGUAAUCUCACUUCUCAUCUU